AUUGAACGCUGGCGGCAGGCCUAACACAUGCAAGUCGAACGGUAGCACAGAGGAGCUUGCUCCUUGGGUGACGAGUGGCGGACGGGUGAGUAAUGUCUGGGAAACUGCCCGAUGGAGGGGGAUAACUACUGGAAACGGUAGCUAAUACCGCAUAACGUCGCAAGACCAAAGAGGGGGACCUUCGGGCCUCUUGCCAUCGGAUGUGCCCAGAUGGGAUUAGCUAGUAGGUGGGGUAACGGCUCACCUAGGCGACGAUCCCUAGCUGGUCUGAAAGGAUGACCAGCCACACUGGAACUGAGACACGGUCCAGACUCCUACGGGAGGCAGCAGUGGGGAAUAUUGCACAAUGGGCGCAAGCCUGAUGCAGCCAUGCCGCGUGUAUGAAGAAGGCCUUCGGGUUGUAAAGUACUUUCAGCGGGGAGGAAGGGGUUAAGGUUAAUAACCUUAGCCAUUGACGUUACCCGCAGAAGAAGCACCGGCUAACUCCGUGCCAGCAGCCGCCGUAA
rnacentral:rRNA from 1 species